UACGUAGGGUGCGAGCGUUAAUCGGAAUUACUGGGCGUAAAGGGCGCGUAGGCGGCCUACUAAGUCAGACGUGAAAUCCCCCGGCUUAACCUGGGAACUGCGUCUGAUACUGGAAGGCUUGAGUAUGGGAGAGGGAUGUAGAAUUCCAGGUGUAGCGGUGAAAUGCGUAGAUAUCUGGAGGAAUACCGGUGGCGAAGGCGGCAUCCUGGACCAUUACUGACGCUGAGGCGCGAAAGCUAGGGGAGCAAACGGG
rnacentral:rRNA from 1 species